ensembl:lncRNA
GCCCAGGGAAUUUGUGCUGGGGGUUCGUCGUGAUGCAAAAAACGCAACCAAAUGAAGUCACUUAAAAACACGUUUUAGGUCAAUGGAAAAGAGAAUGCAGAAUUCGUGUAUCGAUUUUUUUUUUUUUUCUGAAGUCAAUCAAGACUCCGUCCUCAGACGAUGUUAGUUAUAGGGUUUGAUUUUGAAUGGAACACACUGCUCCACGUUAACAUGUUUUAUCAUGCGUUUAAAUGAGUAUGGAACUCCCUAUGGUGCUUAUGUCCCACGCCACUGCUGAGCGGCACGCUGACCUUCACAUCAAUCCUGCCACACGAUCGAACACGUGUAUAAAACAGCCUAUAGAUCCGCCCUUCGGUGACCGAUUGGCCAAGUGUUCUCGAGUCUGCUACCACAGCGGAAUUUAAUGUUAAUCCUACCCAGGAUCCAGUCUCUCUAGAUGGGAAACGCGAGUGGACAACAGUACAUCCUAAGAAAAGAAAAAAAAGAAAAAGUCAAGCUUCGACCAAGAUGUCUUGCCGGUGGAAGUCUCCAGCUCUUUCCUCGCGACGCGACUCAAUGCGCUCUCUGUGGCGGGAGGCAGCGGUGGGCGUGGCAGAGGAGAGGACUACGACGAUAAGAGGGGUGUGGCGCAAGUAGGAACGUUCGAAGUUCUUUUAGUGCAGUGUGACGGCGAAGCGUCGACUAAUCAGGACAGGUUCUCUCGGUCCCCGGCAACGAAAAAAUGUAGGACAGAUAGUUGGGUCUCGCAUAGUUUACUUGGUCGGGCUUUUUUUUUGUCUUUCGUAAAUAGGGUAGGCCUACUCAAUUUCAAGCUUCGAGUUUGCGGACGUCUUUAUUAAUUUGUUGUUCUAAAGUCUAGUUAUGUAGCUACUCUCUACUAUAACAUUAAAUGAGUGGCCAUCUCAAAUAGGUGAAUUACACUUAACUAUUUCCAUUUAUUGUCGACUACUUACAAUGUAUUUAAUAGCAUUUUUAUGCUUGGUUGUUUUCUUUAGACAUAGCUUUUCUGUCACCAACGCUUCAACGAGUUUGCAUGCGUUUAUGCUUUAGUUGUAGAACAUAUGGGAAACUAUCUUCCU